rnacentral:rRNA from 1 species
UAGUCAUAUGCUUGUCUAAAGGACUAAGCCAUGCAUGUCUAAGUAUAAGCAAUUUAUACUUGCGAAACUGCGAAUGGCUCAUUAAAUCAGUUAUAGUUUACUUGAUAGUUUCUUGCUACAUGGAUACCGGUGGCAAAGUACCGCUAAUACAUGCAACAACCCCGCAAGGGGUGUAUUUAUUAGAUACAAACCAACCUGGGCAACCAGUGUAUGUUGAAUCAUAAUAACUUCACGAAUCGCAUGGCCUUGAGCUGGCGAUGAAUCAUUCAAAUUUCUG